rnacentral:rRNA from 1 species
GUAUCAGUGUCCGUACAUCAAGCUUGGCUUCCUUCCUUCCGUGUAGUCGGUGGCGGGGACGCGCAGACGUGAAGUGUCUUGCUGGCCGUG